rnacentral:rRNA from 1 species
AUAAGGUCAAGUUACAAAGAGCACAGGGCGAAUGCCUUGGUACCAUGAGCCGAUGAAGGACGUGACAAGCUGCGAAAAGCUACGGGGAGGAGCAAAUAUCCGGAUCCGUAGAUAUCCGAAUGGGGCAACCCGAUCGGGGUAAAUUCCCGAUCAAGUCUGCAUGAAUAAAUAGUGCAUACUGGGGAGACGUGGGGAACUGAAACAUCUAAGUACCCACAGGAAGAGAAAUCAACCGAGAUUCCGUAAGUAGUGGCGAGCGAAAGCGGAAGAGGCCAAACCGUAUGACUUCGGUUAUGCGGGGUUGUGGACUGCAACAAGUCAAAGCAAGGAUUAGUGGAAUGAGCGGAUGGAAAGCCGAGACCAAAGAGCGUAAUAGUCGCGUACACGAAAAUCUGAGUGAGGCUAGCAGCACCAGAGUACCACGAGACACGAGGAAUCUUGUGGGAAGCCGGGGGGACCACCCUCCAAGCCUAAAUACUACAUGGUAACCGAUAGUGAAGCAGUACUGUGAAGGAAAGGUGAAAAGAACCCCUGACGGGGAGUGAAAAAGAACCUGAAACCCUGUGUUUACAAGCAGUUGAAGAGCGUUAAAGCUCGACAGCGUACUUUUUGUAGAACGGUCCUACGAGUUAUGGCAGUUAGCGAGGUUAAGGACUAGAGGUCCGGAGCCGAAGGGAAACCGAGCUUUAAUAGAGCGUAAAGUUAGCUGUUAUAGACCCGAAACCGGGUGACCUAUCCAUGAGCAGGUUGAAGUGACGGUAAAACGUCAUGGAGGACCGAACAAGUAUCUGUUGAAAAAGGUUUUGAUGACUUGUGGAUAGCGGAGAAAUUCCAAUCGAACCCGGAGAUAGCUGGUUCUCCCCGAAAUAGCUUUAGGGCUAGCCUUACGUCGAGUCUAGCGGAGGUAGAGCACUGAAUUGGCUAGGGGCCUUACCAGGUUACCGAACCUUAUCAAACUCCGAAUGCCGCAUAGAUAUACGUGGGAGUCAGACAGUGACAGAUAAGUGCCAUUGUCAAAAGGGAAACAGCCCAGACCGUCAGCUAAGGUCCCAAAAUUACAGUUAAGUGGAAAAGGAUGUGGGUAUGCUAAAACAGCUAGGAUGUUGGCUUAGAAGCAGCCACUCAUUAAAAGAGUGCGUAAUAGCUCACUAGUCGAGUGAACCUGCGCCGAAGAUUAACGGGGCUAAACUGUAUACCGAAGCUACGGAACCGAAGGUUGGUAGGGGAGCGUACUGUAAGCAGAAGAAGCAUGACCGGAAGGACAUGUGGAUGUAUCAGUAGUGAGAAUGUAGGAAUAAGUAACGAGAGCGAAGUGAGAAUCUUUGCCGUCGAAAAUCCAAGGUUUCCUGGGGAAGGGUCGUCCUCCCAGGGUCAGUCGGGACCUAAGGCCAGGCCGACAGGCGUAGUCGAUGGAUAUCAGGUAGACAUUCCUGAACUACCGAUCCACGUUUGAGAGAGGCAGGGACGCAGGAGGAUAGCAUAAGCGAGCUGCAGGAAAUGCUCGUGCAAGCGAAGUAGAGAGACUAAUAGUAAAGUACGUUAGUUGAUUUGAAAGCGUGAUGCGUAGGGAAAACAAGUACCGAAAUAUGUGAUUCCACACUGACGAGAAAAGCUGCUAUCGAGUGGAGAGGUACCCGUACCGUAAACCGACACAGGUGGAUGAGGAGAGAAUCCUAAGACGAGCGGGAGAAGCGUUGUUAAGGAACUCGGCAAAUUAACCCCGUAAGUUCGCAAGAAGGGGUGCCUCUGAGAAGAGGCCGCAGUGAAUAGGCCCAAGCAACUGUUUAGCAAAAACACAGGUCUCCGCUAAAUCGAAAGAUGAAGUAUGGGGGCUGACGCCUGCCCGGUGCUGGAAGGUCACGGGAAUCUGUUAUCGCAAGAGAAGCAGUGAACUUAAGCCCCAGUAAACGGCGGCCGUAACUAUAACGGUCCUAAGGUAGCGAAAUUCCUUGUCAGGUAAGUUCUGACCCGCACGAAUGGCGUAAUGAUUUGGGCACUGUCUCAACAACGUACCCGGUGAAAUUGUAGUACUUGUGAAGAUGCAAGUUACCCGCGACUAGACGGAAAGACCCCAUGGAGCUUCACUGUAGAUUGUUACUGGGAUUCGGUAUUGUUUGUACAGGAUAGGUGGGAGACUAUGAACCAUAGGCGUCAGCAGAUGGGGAGUCACUGUUGGGAUACCACUCUGACGAUACUGAGUUUCUAACUGUUAGCCGUAAUCCGGUUACAGGACAAUGGCAGUCGGACAGUUUGACUGGGGCGGUCGCCUCCUAAAAGGUAACGGAGGCGCUCAAAGGUUACCUCAGCAUGGUUAGAAAUCAUGCAACGAGUGUAAAGGCAUAAGGUAGCCUGACUGCGAGACACACAGGUCGAGCAGAUACGAAAGUAGGACUUAGUGAUCCGGCGGUAGAAAGUGGAAUUGCCGUCGCUCAACGGAUAAAAGUUACCCUGGGGAUAACAGGCUGAUCUCCCCCAAGAGUUCACAUCGACGGGGAGGUUUGGCACCUCGAUGUCGGCUCAUCACAUCCUGGGGCUGAAGAAGGUCCCAAGGGUUCGGCUGUUCGCCGAUUAAAGUGGUACGCGAGCUGGGUUCAGAACGUCGUGAGACAGUUCGGUCCCUAUCUAUCGUGGGCGUAGGAAAUUUGAAAGGUGCUGUCCCUAGUACGAGAGGACCGGGAUGGACCAACCUAUGGUGAACCAGUUGUCACGCCAGUGGCAUAGCUGGGUAGCUAAGUUGGGCAGGGAUAAACGCUGAAAGCAUCUAAGUGUGAAGCCCUCCUUAAGAUAAGAUUUCCCACCGAAAGGUUAAGACCCCUUGAAGACAACAAGGUUGAUAGGUCAGGAGUGGAAGUACAGUAAUGUAUGAAGCGGACUGAUACUAAUAGGUCGAAAACUUGACCACAA